CGCCACUUAAAGCACCAGUAGUGAUAGUGUGAGGAGAAUCGUGGACGUAUUUGCAGGAUGAAGGUGCUAGCUAGCUGUUUGGUGCUGUCCGUCCUAGUGCUUUGCCAAGCACACGCCAUGGCCAUGGAUUAUCGUCACCUGCCGGGGGGAUUAUGCAGAUUACACAUGGAAUAAUCCACAAAGGGGUUUAUCGUUAAAACGGAGACUAUGGCCAGAUUAUCCAUUACUGUCCAAUAGCUUGUCAGAAUUACCGGCACAGACGAAAAGAGCUCAACGUGGAUACUACCUGGAUUACAAGCGAAGCAGUCUGAACGAACUGAUUCAACGUCUUCUUGCAAUGAGAGGAAAUUCUAGAGAGACUGGUAGAGCCAACAUGAUGCGAUUUGGUGCCGGACGGCGAUGAAAUUGGCGCCAUGUGGCUUUCAGCCAAUCACAGCAAAGCAUAUCGUGAUCCAGUCACGCUGAUUGGUGCGAUAGUCGAGUGUUUUACAUCAGUUACUUCUUCUUCUUGGCGCGGACACGUACUCUAUCUCAGAAAACUAGGAAACGAUCUCUUCUCACCUCAAGAACAUUGUGGUGUUGUCCACUCAGGUGGUAAUAUGUCGGACAGUAUUUUGUCCUGUGUGCAAACUACUACGGCCGGGAAAGUAGAAAAUGUUGUGUCAUAUACCCUGGGCCUCGUCUCGUGAUAGAGUGCAUCAUGAACAAGCCCACUGUAUUGCUAGGACUGAUUUGUGGAGCGAGGCCCUUCUAGUUCUUCGUAUUAUUUUUCUGUUCCUGUGUCACUGUCAUUUGCCAUAUAAAACUGCAAGUUAUCACGCACCGGAGAUUCCCUUUAGCAUUUAGAUUAUGUAUAGAGACAAGUAGCGUCUGUCAUGUUUUAAGAAAUAAUUCACAUUCACGUGUAUUUACAAACGUAUGGCAUUGGGUCCAAAAGCAGCCGCACCCGUGUGUGUCUUCAACAGUAUCUAAUGCAUAAAGAUUGCCAUAUCAGGUUCACGUAUUCUUCACGUUACAUGUUCGUUUAGUUUUUUAUGAAAUAUCGUAUUAAAUCCUCUAUCAGUUAACCGGAAGCGCUGUUUCUCUAUGUUGUCCUAUACGAAUGUCGUUAUCAAAGUCUCUUUUAUAAGUCCUCGGCUCCUUGCUGAACGAACACUCAGAUCUAUUCUUGUGUUCUAUCUGUGACUUGAGGUCUUAGUUUUCAGCUGCGUUUCUGACAAUACAACAGAAAUCCCUGAAUACAUCAGUCAAAGGGUCGACACGUAUCUGUAUCAUUCAUUCCCCGGGAUGCAGGGUCUCUGAUGUGCUGGGCCCACUAAUCUACCAACCUCUCACCAGUACUACUGGCAUUUAAUUCAACAUCUGACCUGGAAUCUCAUCUAUUACGGUUGUUUGAUAGAAAUUAUCUUGGUCUAUGAUCUGUAGGGAUACUUGAAGAGCAAUGGUUAAUAAAAACGAAUUUGUAGAAAGA